CCCAGACUCCUACGGGAGGCAGCAGUGGGGGAUAUUGCACAAUGGGGGAAACCCUGAUGCAGCGACGCCGCGUGAGUGAAGAAGUAUUUCGGUAUGUAAAGCUCUCUCAGCAGGGAAGAAAAAAGACGGUACCUGACUAAGAAGCCCCGGCUAACUACGUGCCAGCAGCCGCGGUAAUACGUAGGGGGCAAGCGUUAUCCGGAUUUACUGGGUGUAAAGGGAGCGUAGACGGCAAUACAAGUCGGAAGUGAAAUACCCGGGCUCAACCUGGGAACUGCUUUGGAAACUGUAUGGCUGGAGUGCUGGAGAGGUAAGCGGAAUUCCUAGUGUAGCGGUGAAAUGCGUAGAUAUUAGGAGGAACACCAGUGGCGAAGGCGGCUUACUGGACAGUAACUGACGUUGAGGCUCGAAAGCGUGGGGAGCAAACAGGAUUAGAUACCCGCGUAUG
rnacentral:rRNA from 1 species